UUUCUGGGAGGAUUUCAAGGAACGGAGAGUAAGGAUGGCGGAAGAAGGAGGCAAUGGAAAGGGAAGUGAGAAUUGGGUGGAGGAUCUUCAGCGCGCGGUCGUCCAAUCUAAGGACUCAGCCAUUCGCUCUGCUCGUUCCUUUCAACAAAAUUCUUCUUCCCAUCUUCGCUCCUUACAGGAUUAUGUGCCACAAGCAAUUUCUCAGUUCAAAACUUAUGAAGAUACCUUUUUCAACAGAAUUAAAGGGGAGUUGAUGAGUGCAAGGGAACACCCAGUUGAGGCUGUUGGGGUUGCUGUAACAGCUGGUCUCCUUCUUAUGCGAGGCCCUCGAAGGUUUCUGUUUCGUCAUACAUUUGGUCGACUUCAAAGUGAAGAGUCAAAAUUUCUUAAAGCUGAAAAGAAUGUAAAAGAGUUGAACCUUUCUGUAGAUUUAAUGAAGAAGGAGAGCCGAAAAUUACUUGAAAGGGCAUCUCUGGCUGAGAAGGAUAUGAAACAUGGCCAUACUGAGCUCUUGGAUGCUGGAAGUCAAAUUCAAUGGCAUGCUAAAUCAGUUUACAAGGUUGAAACCCAAGUUGCAGAUUUGAUGGAUGGGCUACGAGAAAUCCCUGGAAGGGAGGCUUUGAAACUUCGAGCAGAGGUUGCUUCUAUGGCAUCACUUUUGAAGCAGCAUAGGACUGUGCUGGACAAACAGAUCAUGAAGAUUUCUGAACUAGGGGUUCCUGUUUGAUAGCAUAUAAGUGAUCCUUGAGGGCACCACUUGGGGUAUCUCUAUUUU
rnacentral:misc_RNA from 1 species